rnacentral:sRNA from 6 species
UAUUCUGCCCUACGGGGAAGGAUGAGAAGCUUUGACUAAGGUUCGACUCGAGCGUAGCGAGAGAACGUUGCCGAAGGCAACGGCCCGAAGGGCGAGGCGCUUUAGCGCCGAGUUAUCCUUCCCCCACCACCA